rnacentral:rRNA from 1 species
AUUGAACGCUGGCGGCAUGCCUUACACAUGCAAGUCGAACGGUAACAGGUUAAGCUGACGAGUGGCGAACGGGUGAGUAAUGUAUCGGAACGUGCCCAGUCGUGGGGGAUAACUGCUCGAAAGAGCAGCUAAUACCGCAUACGACCUGAGGGUGAAAGCGGGGGAUCGCAAGACCUCGCGCGAUUGGAGCGGCCGAUAUCAGAUUAGGUAGUUGGGGAGGUAAAGGCUCACCAAGCCGACGAUCUGUAGCUGGUCUGAGAGGACGACCAGACACACGGGGACUGGAACACGGCCCAGGCUCCUACGGGAGGCAGCAGUGGGGAAUUUUGGACAAUGGGCGCAAGCCUGAUCCAGCCAUGCCGCGUGCGGGAAGAAGGCCUUCGGGUUGUAAACCGCUUUUGUCAGGGAAGAAAAGGUUCUGGCUAAUACCUGGGACUCAUGACGGUACCUGAAGAAUAAGCACCGGCUAACUACGUG